UACGGAGGGUGCAAGCGUUAUCCGGAUUCACUGGGUUUAAAGGGUGCGUAGGAGGGCAGGUAAGUCAGUGGUGAAAUCUCCGAGCUUAACUUGGAACUGCCGUUGAUACUAUCUGCCUUGAAUAUUGUGGAGGUGAGCGGAAUAUGUCAUGUAGCGGUGAAAUGCUUAGAUAUGACAUAGAACACCAAUUGCGAAGGCAGCUCGCUACACAUAUAUUGACUCUGAGGCACGAAAGCGUGGGGGAGCAAACAGG
rnacentral:rRNA from 1 species